rnacentral:rRNA from 1 species
GGGGUUCUGACUGCUUAUUGCACCACAUGUGUUUUUCUUUGAAACAAACUUGCUUUGGCGGUGGGCCCAGCCUGCCGCCAGAGGUCUAAACUUACAACCAAUUUUUUAUCAACUUGUCACACCAGAUUAUUACUAAUAGUCAAAACUUUCAACAACGGAUCUCUUGGUUCUCGCAUCGAUGAAGAACGCAGCGAAAUGCGAUACGUAAUAUGAAUUGCAGAUAUUCGUGAAUCAUCGAAUCUUUGAACGCACAUUGCGCCCUCUGGUAUUCCGGAGGGCAUGCCUGUUUGAGCGUCGUUUCUCCCUCAAACCGCUGGGUUUGGUGUUGAGCAAUACGACUUGGGUUUGCUUGAAAGACGGUAGUGGUAAGGCGGGAUCGCUUUGACAAUGGCUUAGGUCUAACCAAAAACAUUGCUUGCGGCGGCAACGUCUACCACGUAUAUCUUCAAACUUUGACCUCAAAUCAGGUAGGACUACCCGCUGAACUUAAGCAUAUCAAUAAGCGGAGGAA